rnacentral:sRNA from 1 species
UUUUAGCCCAGAUAGUAGAGGAAAUCCUUUUGUGCUGAUUUUUCUUCAGCACAAAAGAUUGUAACGAAUAGCUGGAAAUAGC